CUGGCGGCGUGCCUAACACAUGCAAGUCGAACGAGAAAGUGGAGCAAUCCAUGAGUAAAGUGGCGCACGGGUGAGUAACACGUGACUAACCUACCCUUGAGUGGGGGAUAACUUCGGGAAACCGAGGCUAAUACCGCAUAACACCUACGGGUCAAAGGAGCAAUUCGCUCGAGGAGGGGGUCGCGGCCGAUUAGUUAGUUGGUAGGGUAACGGCCUACCAAGACGAUGAUCGGUAUCCGGCCUGAGAGGGCGCACGGACACACUGGAACUGAAACACGGUCCAGACUCCUACGGGAGGCAGCAGUGGGGAAUUUUGCGCAAUGGGGGAAACCCUGACGCAGCAACGCCGCGUGGAGGAUGAAGUCCUUCGGGACGUAAACUCCUUUCGAUCGGGACGAUUAUGACGGUACCGGAAGAAGAAGCCCCGGCUAACUUCGUGCCAGCAGCCGCGGUAAUACGAGGGGGGCGAGCGUUGUUCGGAAUUAUUGGGCGUAAAGGGUGCGUAGGCGGUUUGGUAAGUCUGAUGUGAAAUCUAUGGGCUCAACUCAUAGUCUGCAUUAAAAACUGCCGGGCUUGAGUAUGGGAGAGGUGA
rnacentral:rRNA from 1 species